UUGGCAUGAUGAUGAUAGUUUUGAAUAGAUUCAUAUGAUGAAUCUAAUCCUCCUACUCAUUCUGA
rfam:Vigna angularis cultivar Jingnong 6 scaffold123_9, whole genome shotgun sequence.